UACGUAGGGUGCAAGCGUUAAUCGGAAUUACUGGGCGUAAAGCGUGCGUAGGCGGCUUUGUAAGUUAGAGGUGAAAGCCCGGAGCUCAACUCCGGAACUGCCUUUAAAACUGCAUCGCUUGAAUCCAGGAGAGGUGAGUGGAAUUCCGAGUGUAGAGGUGAAAUUCGUAGAUAUUCGGAAGAACACCAGUGGCGAAGGCGGCUCACUGGACUGGUAUUGACGCUGAGGUGCGAAAGCGUGGGGAGCAAACAGG
rnacentral:rRNA from 1 species